UACGGAAGGCAGCAGUGGGGAAUAUUGCACAAUGGGCGCAAGCCUGAUGCAGCCAUGCCGCGUGUAUGAAGAAGGCCUUCGGGUUGUAAAGUACUUUCAGCGGGGAGGAAGGCGGUGAAGUUAAUAGCUUCACCGAUUGACGUUACCCGCAGAAGAAGCACCGGCUAACUCCGUGCCAGCAGCCGCGGUAAUACGGAGGGUGCAAGCGUUAAUCGGAAUUACUGGGCGUAAAGCGCACGCAGGCGGUCUGUCAAGUCGGAUGUGAAAUCCCCGGGCUUAACCUGGGAACUGCAUUCGAAACUGGCAGGCUAGAGUCUUGUAGAGGGGGUAGAAUUCCAGGUGUAGCGGUGAAAUGCGUAGAGAUCUGGAGGAAUACCGGUGGCGAAGGCGGCCCCUGGGACAAAGGCUGACGCUCAGGUGCGAAAGCGUGGGGAGCGAAACAGGGAUUAGGAUACC
rnacentral:rRNA from 1 species